ACGAACGCUGGCGGCGUGCUUAACACAUGCAAGUUGAACGGAAAGGCCCUGCUUUUGUGGGGUGCUCGAGUGGCGAACGGGUGAGUAACACGUGAGUAACCUGCCCUUGACUUUGGGAUAACUUCAGGAAACUGGGGCUAAUACCGGAUAGGAGCUCCUGCUGCAUGGUGGGGGUUGGAAAGUUUCGGCGGUUGGGGAUGGACUCGCGGCUUAUCAGCUUGUUGGUGGGGUAGUGGCUUACCAAGGCUUUGACGGGUAGCCGGCCUGAGAGGGUGACCGGCCACAUUGGGACUGAGAUACGGCCCAGACUCCUACGGGAGGCAGCAGUGGGGAAUAUUGCACAAUGGGCGGAAGCCUGAUGCAGCAACGCCGCGUGCGGGAUGACGGCCUUCGGGUUGUAAACCGCUUUCGCCUGCGACGAAGCGUGAGUGACGGUAAUGGGUAAAGAAGCACCGGCUAACUACGUG
rnacentral:rRNA from 1 species